ANACUGCNAGUCGAGCGGACGUUGGGAGCUUGCUCCCUUCGUUUAGCGGCGGACGGGUGAGUAACACGUGGGCAACCUGCCCUGCAGAUCGGGAUAACUCCGGGAAACCGGUGCUAAUACCGAAUAGUUUUUUGCCCCUCCUGGGGCGAAACGGAAAGACGGUUUCGGCUGUCACUGCAGGAUGGGCCCGCGGCGCAUUAGCUAGUUGGUGGGGUAACGGCCCACCAAGGCGACGAUGCGUAGCCGACCUGAGAGGGUGAUCGGCCACACUGGGACUGAGACACGGCCCAGACUCCUACGGGAGGCAGCAGUAGGGAAUCUUCCGCAAUGGACGAAAGUCUGACGGAGCAAUGCCGCGUGAGUGACGAAGGUUUUCGGAUCGUAAAACUCUGUUGUAAGGGAAGAACAAGUACCA
rnacentral:rRNA from 1 species